rnacentral:rRNA from 3 species
ACUAUAACGGUCCUAAGGUAGCGAAAUUCCUUGUCGGGUAAGUUCCGACCCGCACGAAAGGCGUAACGAUUUGGGCACUGUCUCAACGAGAGACUCGGUGAAAUCAUAGUACCUGUGAAGAUGCAGGUUACCCGCGACAGGACGGAAAGACCCCGUGGAGCUUUACUGUAGCCUGAUAUUGAAAUUCGGCACAGCUUGUACAGGAUAGGUAGGAGCCUUUGAAACGUGAGCGCUAGCUUACGUGGAGGCGUUGGUGGGAUACUACCCUAGCUGUGUUGGCUUUCUAACCCGCACCACUUAUCGUGGUGGGAGACAGUGUCAGGCGGGCAGUUUGACUGGGGCGGUCGCCUCCUAAAAGGUAACGGAGGCGCUCAAAGGUUCCCUCAGAAUGGUUGGAAAUCAUUCAUAGAGUGUAAAGGCAUAAGGGAGCUUGACUGCGAGACCUACAAGUCGAGCAGGGUCGAAAGACGGACUUAGUGAUCCGGUGGUUCCGCAUGGAAGGGCCAUCGCUCAACGGAUAAAAGCUACCCCGGGGAUAACAGGCUUAUCUCCCCCAAGAGUUCACAUCGACGGGGAGGUUUGGCACCUCGAUGUCGGCUCAUCGCAUCCUGGGGCUGUAGUCGGUCCCAAGGGUUGGGCUGUUCGCCCAUUAAAGCGGUACGCGAGCUGGGUUCAGAACGUCGUGAGACAGUUCGGUCCCUAUCCGUCGUGGGCGUAGGAAAUUUGAGAGGAGCUGUCCUUAGUACGAGAGGACCGGGAUGGACAUACCUCUGGUGUACCAGUUGUCGUGCCAACGGCAUAGCUGGGUAGCUAUGUAUGGACGGGAUAAGUGCUGAAAGCAUCUAAGCAUGAAGCCCCCCUCAAGAUGAGAUUUCCCAACUUCGGUUAUAAGAUCCCUCGAAGAUGACGAGGUUAAUAGGUUCGAGGUGGAAGCGUGGUGACACGUGGAGCUGACGAAUACUAAUCGAUCGAAGACUUAAUCAA